GCUCCGAUGGGUCAAUGGUGGACCGGCCUGAGGCUUUUAGUCUGUAUUUCACAUGGUGCAGGCAGAUGUGGGUUCGACUCUCGCUUGGAGCA